AAAGUCGUAACAAGGUUUCCGUAGGUGAACCUGCGGAAGGAUCAUUAAUAAAUGCUUCAUUGCAUCCACCUUUUGUGCACUGUAAAUAUUUCACUUGAAUUUUGUCUGACUAAUCUUUGUUCUGAAAGGAACAUAAAUUAUAAUCUAAUACAACUUUUAACAAUGGAUCUCUUGGCUCUC
rnacentral:misc_RNA from 1 species